UGUUAGAGCUAAGUUCAAGUCCAACUUGCCACCAAAGUCUAUGGGGGCUAAGGUUAGAGUUUUCAUGUACCCAAGCAACAUAUAAGCAAGGUACCAAGUCGACGCAUAUGCUUGGAUCCCCUACAUUUGUCUAUCAUUAGUUAUGAAGGAUUUGAAUCUUUUAAAGUAGUUGGACAUAACUUGUUUUGGGCUAUGUGGAAUUACAUUUCUAUUCUAUUUGUUUACCAUGUACUUGGAAAC
rnacentral:misc_RNA from 1 species